rnacentral:rRNA from 1 species
AACGCACCUUGCGCUCCUUGGUAUUCCGAGGAGCAUGCCUGUUUGAGUGUCAUUAAAUUCUCAACCUUACCAACUUUGUUGUCUGGUAAAGGCUUGGAUGUGGGGGUUUUGCUGGCUUCGUCAAGAGGUCGGCUCUCCUUAAAUGUAUUAGUGGGGUCUGCAUUGUCGGCCCUUGGCGUGAUAAGUUGUUUCUACGUCUUGGAUUUUUGGCGCUGUACACCUGCUUCUAACCGUCUUCAUUGACAACGAUGGUGUUCCGGUCGCCGCCGAUUUUUCGGUGGGAGGCUUGACCCACGAAACAAACCUUGACCUCAAAUCGGGUGAGACUACCCGCUGAACUUAA